GACGAACGCUGGCGGCGUGCUUAACACAUGCAAGUCGAACGGAAAGGCCCUGCUUUUGUUGGGUGCUCGAGUGGCGAACGGGUGAGUAACACGUGAGUAACCUGCCCUUGACUUUGGGAUAACUUCAGGAAACUGGGGCUAAUACCGGAUAGGAGCUCCUGCUGCAUGGUGGGGGUUGGAAAGUUUCGGCGGUUGGGGAUGGACUCGCGGCUUAUCAGCUUGUUGGUGGGGUAGUGGCUUACCAAGGCUUUGACGGGUAGCCGGCCUGAGAGGGUGACCGGCCACAUUGGGACUGAGAUACGGCCCAGACUCCGACGGGAGGCAGCAGUGGGGAAUAUUGCACAAUGGGCGGAAGCCUGAUGCAGCAACGCCGCGUGCGGGAUGACGGCCUUCGGGUUGUAAACCGCUUUCGCCUGUGACGAAGCGUGAGUGACGGUAAUGGGUAAAGAAGCACCGGCUAACUACGUG
rnacentral:rRNA from 1 species